UGACCUCUCAAAUGUUCCGUUGAAAUUUCUCAAUAAUUGGUAAAGAACAUGAGUUUUCUCACUUCCCACACAGACCCUAGAAGGAAGCAGUACUGCACAAUUUUGGCUACAGCUGUCAUUUUGCUCCCUUUGGAAUGUAUCUUUUUGAGAUUGUUGGUUUUUAGCGCCAAAGCAGAGACCAUAAGGACACAUCCACGCCGGACGUCAUGUAAAGGGGUUGGGCUUUGGAGUCAGAGAGACUAAGUGGGUCAGCCUAGGCGACCUUAAUUUCCUGCUCCGUAAAAUAAGAAAAGUAGCACCCACGCCAAGGACUUGCUGCGAGAAUUACAAGGAGGUAAAAGCAUUUUCGGUGCCUAGCACGUGUAAAUGCCCGAAAUACCCCAAUGUUUAUCGCCAAAGAUGGAAGAGGAAGAUUAAAACAAUAAUUUGCAGAAAAGCCCUGCCUUCCCAAAGAUCUAGAGUGUAAUGCAACCAUAUGUUGCUGAGGAGCUCGAAUCUUGGCUGCCUUCGCCCCUCUGCACGAGCAGAAACCCCGGUUUUCAGGGGCCGUGAUCUCAUCGUGUCGCUCUCACUUUUGAAG